rnacentral:rRNA from 1 species
UCUUCCUACGGGAGGCAGCAGUGGGGAAUAUUGCACAAUGGGGGAAACCCUGAUGCAGCAACGCCGCGUGAGUGAAGAAGUAUUUCGGUAUGUAAAGCUCUAUCAGCAGGGGAGAAGAUGACGGUACCUGAAUAAGAAGCCCCGGCUAACUACGUGCCAGCAGCCGCGGUAAUACGUAGGGGGCAAGCGUUAUCCGGAUUUACUGGGUGUAAAGGGCGUGUAGGCGGGAAAGCAAGUCAGAUGUGAAAACCAUGGGCUCAACC